rnacentral:sRNA from 1 species
UCGCUGCGUUAUCCCAAAUGGGGUCGCGA